rnacentral:rRNA from 2 species
CUGACCUCAAAUCAGGUAGGACUACCCGCUGAACUUAAGCAUAUCAAUAAGCGGAGGAGAAAAAACUAACAAGGAUUCCCCUAGUAACGGCGAGUGAAGCGGGAUGAGCUCAAAUUUGAAAGCUGGCAUCUUCGGUGUCCGCAUUGUAAUCUCGAGAAGUAGUUUCUGUGCUGGACCAUGUACAAGUUCCUUGGAAUAGGACAUCAGAGAGGGUGAGAAUCCCGUACUUGACAUGGAUCCCAGUGCUUUGUGAUCUGCUCUCUAUGAGUCGAGUUGUUUGGGAAUGCAGCUCAAAAUGGGUGGUAAAUUCCAUCUAAAGCUAAAUAUUGGGGAGAGACCGAUAGCGAACAAGUACCGUGAGGGAAAGAUGAAAAGCACUUUGGAAAGAGAGUUAAACAGUACGUGAAAUUGUCAAAAGGGAAGCGCUUGAGGUUAGCUAUGCAUGCAGUAUUCAGCCUUUCUUUUGAUGGGUGUAUUUGCUGUUUUGCAGGCCAGCAUCGGUUUUGUCUGCUGGAUAAUGGUAAGAGGAAUGUGGCACCUUCGGGUGUGUUAUAGCCUUUUACUUGAUACAGUGGAUGGGACCGAGGACCGCAGUGUGCCGUAUGGCGGCUCUUCGGAGACCUUCGCACUUAGGAUGCUGGCGUAAUGGCCUUAAGCGGCCCGUCUUGAAACA